CUGGGUCAAAUGCAGUAGGUGAUCGAACCGGACCCAAAAUGAAAGGAGAGAUACUGCCCAGGCGAAAGCCUAAAACUGCCCUUUGACGGCCACACGCGGACGCUGCUUGCAUGGCGGGCUAUUGCGCUAACCCGUUUCAUGCGUGGGGCCAAAGUAGUUUAGAAGCGCACCGACACCACAACUAUGCGGAGGGCGAAUACCAUUUAUGACCAGC
rnacentral:sRNA from 12 species